rnacentral:rRNA from 1 species
GUGGGGAAUCUUAGACAAUGGGGGAAACCCUGAUCUAGCCAUGCCGCGUGAGCGAUGAAGGCCUUAGGGUUGUAAAGCUCUUUCAGCUGGGAAGAUAAUGACGGUACCAGCAGAAGAAGCCCCGGCUAACUCCGUGCCAGCAGCCGCGGUAAUACGGAGGGGGCUAGCGUUGUUCGGAAUUACUGGGCGUAAAGCGCGCGUAGGCGGACCAGAAAGUUGGAGGUGAAAUCCCAGGGCUCAACCUUGGAACUGCCUUCAAAACUCCUGGUCUGGAGUUCGAGGGAGGUGAGUGGAAUUCCGAGUGUAGAGGUGAAAUUCGUAGAUAUUCGGAGGAACACCAGUGGCGAAGGCGGCUCACUGGCUCGAUACUGACGCUGAGGUGCGAAAGCGUGGGGAGCAAACAGGAUUAGAAACCCGGGUAGUCC